GCUGGGUGUGGUGGCGCAUGCCUGUGAUCCCAACAGCUCAGGAGGCUGAGGAAGGAGGAUCGUGAGUUCAGAGCCAGCCUCUGCAACAGUGAGGUGCUAAGCAAGUCAGUGAGAUCCUGUCUCUA
rnacentral:sRNA from 1 species